ACAGGUGUAAACAAUGCUUUAUGGGGGUAGGGUGGGUGCUGGACAGGCCUCCAGGUAAUAAAUAACAGGUACUAGCAACAGCAGGGCCAGAUGGGGAGUUGGGGACAAAUGACCCUGGUCUCAGGCUUUGGGAGCUCUUGGGGUAUGGUUAGGGGUUCAGGGGGACAGACGUUAGCCAAGACAGAGGAAGCAGCAGCAGGUACGGGAUUCCCCCUUCCCCCGUGGCUCAGUCUUGCCCCAAAGCCAGGCCCCACCAGGCCAGGGAAGGGGGACAGGUGGCAACGUAGCUUCUCCGGGGCCAGGGCAGGUUAGGACACGGCCUCUCAGAGCCUGGGCCUGGGCCCCAGCAGGGCUGGUCCUGGAGAACAGGUGAGCUGAAAGAGAAGGGUGUGGUGACCUGCAGGGUCCCCGGGGUCUGUCCAGCCGGUCUCUAUCUCAUUUCCAGGUAUUUCCUUCCCCUCCUAUCUGCAUCGGUCUGUCCAUACCUUUCUUCUCCCGGUUUCUACAUUGUCUGAUUUUCCGCCUCUCCCCUGCAGGUAAUUUGGGGCUUGUGCUGAGGGUACCUGCAUCUCCCUCUUUGUUUGCCUCAGAGAGCUGUCUGAGUCUGUAAAGCCACAUUUCAACAUCUAAAUAUCAUGAAUCUGGAUGGACGCAGUGGCUCACGCCUGUAAUCCCAGCACUGUGGGAAGCCAAGGCAGGAGGAAUGCUUGAGCCCAGGAGUUUGAGACCAGCCUGGGCAACAUAGUGAGACCUCAUCUCUAUUUAUCUUUUAAUUAAGAAAAAGUCCUGAAACCACUUCAGAAUCUCUAGGGUGAGGCCUGGGCAUCAGUAUCUUUUAAAAUUCUCCAGGUCAUUCUAAUGUGUGUCACUGCCUUGGUGGGGAAAUCAGUUUGGUGGGUCUUGACCAAUUUUUAAAUUCAAACAGAAUAGCACAGAACGGCAAAUACCAGAGUGCAUCAUAUAUAAUAAGAAUAUUCUAUUGGUUGGGCAGAAACAAACCAAUAGGUAACAGUAACAGAUAACUCUUAUGUAGUACUUGCCAUGUGCCAGGCACAUUCUAUAUAUUUUUUUUCAACUUUUAUUUUAGAUUCAGGGAGUACAUG
ensembl:lncRNA novel transcript, antisense to RAB4B